rnacentral:rRNA from 1 species
UACGUAGGGGGCAAGCGUUGUCCGGAUUUAUUGGGCGUAAAGAGCGUGUAGGCGGCCAGGUAGGUCUGCUGUGAAAACUCGAGGCUCAACCUCGAGAUGUCGGCGGAAACCAUCUGGCUAGAGUCCGGAAGAGGAGAGUGGAAUUCCUGGUGUAGCGGUGAAAUGCGCAGAUAUCAGGAAGAACACCCGUGGCGAAGGCGGCUCUCUAGUACGGUACUGACGCUGAGACGCGAAAGCGUGGGGAGCGAACAGG